rnacentral:lncRNA from 1 species
AUUUUCUAUCUUCAUGUUAUAUAUUCUCUUCCAGAAUGAUGUAUGCUGAAUGAAGAACAUGUCCUGCAGUUCAUAUUUUUCAGAGGUUUUCAGAGUUAUUGCAGCAGUAGUUGCAGUGCUGGAUCAGAAAUCAUGCUCCAGAAACUCUGCAGUGGUGGUUUUUCACUUCAAGGUGAUAUUACUGAGUUCAUGGUAGGGAAAAAAAGGAAGAGCAGCUGA